CGUAGGUGGCAAGCGUUGUCCGGAUUUAUUGGGUUUAAAGGGUGCGUAGGCGGCUUGAUAAGUCAGUGGUGAAAGCCGAUCGCUUAACGAUCGAACUGCCAUUGAUACUGUCGGGCUUGAGUAUAGAUGAGGUAGGCGGAAUUGACAGUGUAGCGGUGAAAUGCAUAGAUAUUGUCAAGAACACCAAUUGCGAAGGCAGCUUACUAAGUUAUAACUGACGCUGAGGCACGAAAGUGCGGGGAUCAAACAGGAUUAGAUACCCUGGUAGUCCGCACCGUAAACGAUGAUCACUCGCUGUGUGCGAUAAACAGUACGCGGCCAAGCGAAAGCGAUAAGUGAUCCACCUGGGGAGUACGCCCGCAAGGGUG
rnacentral:rRNA from 1 species